rnacentral:rRNA from 1 species
GUGGGGAAUAUUGGACAAUGGGCGCAAGCCUGAUCCAGCAAUUCCGCGUGAGCGAAGAAGGCCUUCGGGUUGUAAAGCUCUUUCGGCGGGGACGAUAAUGACGGUACCCGCAGAAGAAGCCCCGGCUAACUCCGUGCCAGCAGCCGCGGUAAUACGGAGGGGGCUAGCGUUGUUCGGAAUCACUGGGCGUAAAGCGAACGUAGGCGGCUACUCCAGUCAGAGGUGAAAGCCCGGGGCUCAACUCCGGAAUUGCCUUUGAAACUAGGUAGCUUGAACGUCGGAGAGGUAAGUGGAAUUCCGAGUGUAGAGGUGAAAUUCGUAGAUAUUCGGAAGAACACCAGUGGCGAAGGCGACUUACUGGACGACUGUUGACGCUGAGGUGCGAAAGCGUGGGGAGCAAACAGGAUUAGAUACCCUAGUAGUCC